GCCGGCGUUCGCUGGCUCCUCUUGAAAUCAUUAGCUUUGAGUUGAUCUUGAUGGCUUGACCGGUGUGAUAAACAUCUACGCCGAUUCAUGCGUCCUGAGCGAUGACGUCGGAGACGCUCUGGCUUAUAACCGUCUUCACCAAAGGACAAUUACCCUGAACUUUUGAUCUCAAAUCAGGUAGGACUACCCGCUGAACUUAA
rnacentral:misc_RNA from 1 species